AUAGCAUGUCAUAAUGGUUUGAGUGUUGGACUAUGACUCCGGAGACCAGGGUUCAAAUCCUGGUUCAGCUAUG